UACAAAAUAUAAACGUAGGUAUUUGUUAGGCAAUUUGUUUUUUAGUAGUUGAAAAAUUUAAACUAUUUAAUGGAAGACUCAAAAAAAGUUUAUUAGAAAAUCCAAAAAGAAAUGCUUAUCCAACUGUUAAAAAAAGAUACACAAUUAAUUUCUGGGAAGCUUACAAGAUAUUUCAUAUUAAAAAAUACUCGAAAUUGAUGGAUAGUGAUUUUCCGAAACUUUGCAAGCACUUCCUGGCUGUGUGAAGCAUUGGAGUCAAUGGAAAUGAGUAAAAAAUAAAUAUUAAUUACUUCUACACAAAUCUAAUUGUAGGAAAUAAUAUUAUACCUACCUUAUUCUUAUUGUAUUUUAUGUUAAUACUUUGCAAGAUUCCCGUAUUCGAGUUAGGAGUGCAAAAGCCAUGGUAAAUAGAAAUUUAAGUGGUACUGGAGGUGGACCAUACGUUUCGCAAACACUAAACUGUGAUAAACCCUAUCACAAUAAUUGAUGGAUAUGAGAACAUCUUAAUGCCGGUUAAAAAUUGUAUAAAACAGUAAUGAGGUGUAACGCGUAAAAAAUAAGGACAAAAGAACAACAACAGAACAGAUUCAUCAAAAUUAAAUAUUGAGUUUGAACAAGAGAAAUCCAUCAAUUGACGACUAUUGAACCAGAAGUUUAAUGUAAUCAACAAAUGAUGCAAAUUGAAGAAAGUCCAAAUAACAAGGGAAAGAGAAAUUUGCAAAUCAAAAUCAUUAGCAACUACUUUGUGGGAAAUCCAUGAAGCAAAGGAGGAAGCAUAAAACAAGCGAUUGAAGGAAAAACACAAUUUUCUAAAUUGAUUUUCGAUGAACAUAUUACUUCUUAAGUAAAAUAACUUGGUUAAUAUACUUUUAUUAACCAUACAUAUCUCAUUAGUAAUAAGUUAAAGUUUAUAAAAAUAACAUAAGAAAGUUAAAAUGAAUUACCCAAUAUCUCCCAAUAUAUGAUAUUGAAAUCCACAUAAUUAAUUGAGGCAAAUCGUUAGUAACUGACAGAAUGGUUUGAGACAAGGAUAUACAUUUCAUGACUAUUACAAAUCUCUUGUAAUGUUAAAGCCGGUAUGUCAUAACGACUGACAUAAUAUGUUGAUUUAUUUUUAUGUUGUGGAGUUUGAACUGGUAUUGGGGUGCCAUCAAUGCAUUCCAGAAAAUAUUUAAGUAUUAAACAAUA